GAAGCCAGAGGAAACUCUGGUGGAGGCUCGUAGCGAUUCUGACGUGCAAAUCGAUCGUCAAAUUUGGGUAUAGGGGCGAAAGACUAAUCGAACUGUCUAGUAGCUGGUUCCCUCCGAAGUUUCCCUCAGGAUAGCUGGAACUUACGGCAGUUUUAUCAGGUAAAGCGAAUGAUUAGAGGUCUUAGGGUUAAAACAACCUUAACCUAUUCUGAAUAUUUUUUAUCACAAUGAAACAUUUAUUUCAUCAAUAAGGAAAGCGUUGGUUUGCAAAAGCGAUGGCAGCAUUUAAAGUCAACUAUCUGCGUUAUCAAGGAGCUGAUGCACUGCAGGCUUUACGAAGUAUUUAUUUUCUGCUUUUCACUACUGUACUUCCUUAUUGACUUAGUUCGGUCCCGAAUUGCCAAUAUAUUUUCGUGGCUAUUACUGUACCAAUUACAUCAUGCCAAGAUUUCUACGUUUACGAAACAACCUUUUUAGGGAAAACGAGGAGCUCAAUUUUUAUAAACGGACCAAACAUUGCGACUUUUGCCAUCAAUUAGAUGAAUAUGCGUGUUACCAAAAUCAGGUGUAAACGGUUGAAAUUCCAACAGAAAUAUUUGAAAAACAGUCAUUAAAACGGUUGAAGUUCAAAAAGAGUAUUUGAAGAGGAGUCAUUAGACGCUCAACCCAGGCGCGUUCCCAGGAUUGGCCGAAAAAUAAUAGUAAUUUAAAGAUAAUUUAUAAGAAAUGACCCACUUUUUACUUUUUGGCAGCCAAGGGGGGGGGGGGGAGGGUGGCGCACCCCCCUGUGUACGCGCCUGCAACCGGAUAUGCAACUGCUUGUUAGAAAAACAAACAACUACGACAGUUUUUUCCGUGAGUGUUAUUUCACAGACUCUUAAACAAAUCAAAGCUUACAUUUAUCAGUUGAUCAUUACCCUCAACAGUUCUAGCAUAUCAAGACAUUACCGCUACCAACUGACAGUAAAAUAUUAAGAGAGUAAAAUAAUCAAAACGAUUUACAAACAUUCACCCAUGAACACUGAACUUCCUGCUCUUAACAAACUCCCGAUAACUAUCUUUCCACUUCUUAAAUAAACAAAAGGUUUUUCAUUAUAUUAUUUUCUUCCAUUUAAAUUUUAAAUUUUAUAGAGUCUGCCAAAUAAUUGCUUAACGUACAGUCUUGUAAUGACGUGCGUUGACGCAUUGUGAUUCAUCGUGCAGGAGGGAUAACCGUUAAUGGAGGCCCUAUUAUUGUAAAAUAUCAUUUCUUUUCAUCAACCAGUCAGACCUAUUUUGCCUUUGCUCAUUUUUUAAGUUGUACUCAAUGUAUUGUUUUCGCGUCUAACAAAUCCUUCUAAUUUUAAAAAGCGCAGGAAAGCUCUACAUAACGGGUAACCUCAGUACAAUCAGGAAUUGACGGCUUUCUUCAUAAAUGCGACAAAAUAAUGUACACGAUUUCUAAGAUAAUGUAUACCGACAAGAGACCAUGAUGUACGAUACCUAUGUGUGCAUGCGCGAUAUUAUAAUAAAGAUCCACAGGGAGCCCGCCACUGCGUUGAUGAUCUCAAGACCUAAACAGGUCCAUGUUGAGUGUGACGAAGUAUGUCACUAAGUUUAGAUAUCCCUGGCGUUCAUGCACCCUGUGCUCUCAGUUUGGCGAGGUUCCCAAUAGGCAAUUCCAGCUAUAAGCUUGCGCGCGCACUCACCAUGGGAACCUACCUCAAAUACCGGCAUGCAGCGCGCUCUUCGUUUGAAGUAAGCUUAAAAAAGCGCGCGCUGCAUUCUGGUAGUUGAAGUAGGUUUCUAUGGUUAUGCGCGCGCAAACUUAUAGCUGAAUGGCCUAUUAGCCUGCUAAAAAG
rnacentral:ncRNA from 1 species